rnacentral:rRNA from 1 species
UACGAAGGGGGCGAGCGUUGUUCGGAAUUACUGGGCGUAAAGCGUGCGCAGGCGGUUUGUUAAGUCCGUUGUGAAAGCCCCGAGCUCAACUUGGGAAUUGCAGUGGAUACUGGCAGGCUGGAGUACGGUAGAGGAAGGUGGAAUUCCCGGUGUAGCAGUGAAAUGCGUAGAUAUCGGGAGGAACACCAGUGGCGAAGGCGGCCUUCUGGACCAGUACUGACGCUCAUGCACGAAAGCUAGGGGAGCAAACAGG